AUUGAACGCUGGCGGAAUGCUUUACACAUGCAAGUCGAACGGCAGCACGGGGGCAACCCUGGUGGCGAGUGGCGAACGGGUGAGUAAUACAUCGGAACGUGCCCAGUCGUGGGGGAUAACGUAGCGAAAGCUACGCUAAUACCGCAUACGAACUAUGGUUGAAAGCGGGGGAUCGCAAGACCUCGCGCGAUUGGAGCGGCCGAUGGCAGCUUAGGUAGUUGGUGGGGUAAAGGCUCACCAAGCCGACGAUCUGUAGCUGGUCUGAGAGGACGACCAGCCACACUAGGACUGAGACACGGCCCAGACUCCUACGGGAGGCAGAAGUGGGGAAUUUUGGACAAUGGGCGCAAGCCUGAUCCUGCCAUUCCGCGUGCAGGAUGAAGGCCCUCGGGUUGUAAACUGCUUUUGUACGGAACGAAACGGCUCCGGCUAAUACCUGGAGCUAAUGACGGUACCGUAAGAAUAAGCACCGGCUAACUACGUGCCAGCCGCCGCUGUAAUAC
rnacentral:rRNA from 1 species